rnacentral:rRNA from 1 species
GGAUUAGAUACCCUGGUAGUCCUAGCUGUAAACGAUGAACACUAGGCGUUGCUUGUAUCGACCCGAGCAGUGCCGUAGCCAACGCGUUAAGUGUUCCGCCUGGGGAGUACGCACGCAAGUGUGAAACUCAAAGGAAUUGACGGGGGCCCGCACAAGCGGUGGAGUAUGUGGUUUAAUUCGAUGCAACGCGAAGAACCUUACCAGGACUUGACAUCUCGAGAAGGAAGCUUAAUAGCUUCUGUGCCUUAGGGAACUCGAAGACAGGUGGUGCAUGGCUGUCGUCAGCUCGUGCCG